GUAAGGAAUAUUGGUCAAUGGACGGAAGUCUGAACCAGCCAUGCCGCGUGCAGGAAGACGGCCCUACGGGUUGUAAACUGCUUUUGCAGGGGAAUAAACCUUGAUAUGUAUAUCAAGCUGAAUGUACUCUGAGAAUAAGGAUCGGCUAACUCCGUGCCAGCAGCCGCGGUAAUACGGAGGAUCCGAGCGUUAUCCGGAUUUAUUGGGUUUAAAGGGUGCGUAGGUGGUUUUUUAAGUCAGGGGUGAAAGACGGCAGCUUAACUGUCGCAGUGCCUUUGAUACUGAAGAACUUGAAUGAACUAGAGGUAGGCGGAAUGUGACAAGUAGCGGUGAAAUGCAUAGAUAUGUCACAGAACACCGAUUGCGAAGGCAGCUUACUAUGGUUUAAUUGACACUGAGGCACGAAAGCGUGGGGAUCAAACAGG
rnacentral:rRNA from 1 species